rnacentral:rRNA from 1 species
UACAGAGGUCCCAAGCGUUGUUCGGAAUUACUGGGCGUAAAGGGUGCGCAGGCCGCGCGGGCAGUCAAAUGUGUAAUUCAGGGGCUCAACCCCUGCACUGCGCUUGAUACUUCCGCGCUCGAGCUUUGGAGAGGAGUCUGGAAUUCUCGGUGUAGCAGUGAAAUGCGUGGAUAUCGAGAAGAACACUUAGGGCGUAGGCAAGACUCUGGACAAAUGCUGACGCUCAUGCACGAAGGCUAGGGUAGCGAACGGG